rnacentral:rRNA from 1 species
GAUGAACGCUGGCGGCGUGCUUAACACAUGCAAGUCGAGCGAAGCGCUUUGAAUUUUUCGGAAUGAGAAGUGACUGAGCGGCGGACGGGUGAGUAACGCGUGGGUAACCUGCCUCAUACAGGGGGAUAACAGUUAGAAAUGACUGCUAAUACCGCAUAAGCGCACGUCAUCGCAUGAUGGUGUGUGAAAAACUCCGGUGGUAUGAGAUGGACCCGCGUCUGAUUAGGUAGUUGGUGAGGUAACGGCCCACCAAGUCGACGAUCGGUAGCCGACCUGAGAGGGUGAUCGGCCACAUUGGAACUGAGAGACGGUCCAA